AGCAGCCGCGGUAAUUCCAGCUCCAAUAGCGUAUAUUAAAGUUGUUGCAGUUAAAAAGCUCGUAGUUGAAUUUCGGGAUCAGUACGCCGGUCGUGCCUUCGAUAUGCACUGGUGUCACUGGUUUCUCCCUUCUGAAGAACCAUCAUGCCAUUCAGUUGGUGUGGCGGGGAAUCAGGACUGUUACUUUGAAAAAAUUAGAGUGUUUAAAGCAGGCUCGCGCUUGAAUACAUUAGCAUGGAAUAAUGAAAUAGGACGUUUGACCCUAUUUUGUUGGUUUCUAGGAUCGACGUAAUGAUUAAUAGGGAUAGUUGGGGGCAUUAGUAUUCAAUUGUCAGAGGUGAAAUUCUUGGAUUUAUUGAAGACUAACUACUGCGAAAGCAUUUGCCAAGGAUGUUUUCAUUAAUCAAGAACGAAAGUUAGGGGAUCGAAGACGAUUAGAUACCGUCGUAGUCUUAACCAUAAACUAUGCCGACUAGGGAUCGGAUGAUGUUAAUUUAUUAAUGACUCA
rnacentral:rRNA from 1 species